AUUGAACGCUGGCGGCAUGCCUUACACAUGCAAGUCGAACGGCAGCGCGGGAGCAAUCCUGGCGGCGAGUGGCGAACGGGUGAGUAAUAUAUCGGAACGUGCCCAGUAGUGGGGGAUAGCCCGGCGAAAGCCGGAUUAAUACCGCAUACGACCUGAGGGUGAAAGCGGGGGAUCGCAAGACCUCGCGCUAUUGGAGCGGCCGAUAUCAGAUUAGCUAGUUGGUGGGGUAAAGGCCUACCAAGGCAACGAUCUGUAGUUGGUCUGAGAGGACGACCAGCCACACUGGGACUGAGACACGGCCCAGACUCCUACGGGAGGCAGCAGUAGGGAAUAUUGGACAAUGGGGGCAACCCUGAUCCAGCCAUGCCGCGUGAGUGAAGAAGGCCCUCGGGUUGUAAAGCUCUUUUGUCCGGAAAGAAAGCAAUCGGUUAAUACCCGGUUGUCCUGACGGUACCGGAAGAAUAAGCACCGGCUAACUUCGUGCCAGCAG
rnacentral:rRNA from 1 species